rnacentral:lncRNA from 1 species
UCCAACAAUGUAUUGAAAGAAAUAUGCAACGCAUUUCACUAAUUCACACUGAAAUCCGCACCGCCACUGAUAA